rnacentral:lncRNA from 1 species
GUCAGUGUACAUCAAGGUUCCUCUGUUUCCUUCAGAAUUCCAUCUAGGUAAGAUUCUUUUCCUCAAAAUUGAAGUUCGGGAACCAAAUUUGAUCUGGGUGUCUAAAAAUUUGUUUAUUUUCCUUGUGUUUAGGAAGUCCCAAUAAUUUUAAUCGAUAUGCUUUCAAUUUUGGCUGGGUGAUUAUGGUUUCCGUAUUCUAUUUUGGAUUCAUGUUUCAUAUUUUUGUUGUGUUUCUCACAUGCAGUAAUUAAUUUGGUAUUUUCCGUCAAAAUUAACUUUGUGGUUUAUUUUAGUUGGGUUUUUUUUAUCAGAACUCUUUUCAACUUCCUCCAUUCAUAUAUGGUCUUCUUCACCUGAAUCAAUUUUCUGGGUUUUUGUGAUGUUCGAUUUUUCUUGUGUUUGGGAAGUCCCAAUAAUUUUAAUCGAUAUGCUUUCAAUUUUGGCUGGGUGAUUAUGGUUUCCGUGUUCUAUUUUGGAUUCCCGUAUCAGAUUUUUGUUGUGUUUUCUCACAUGCAGUAAUUAAUUUGGUCUUUUUCCAUCGAAAUUAACUUAAUGGUUUAUUUUAGUUGGGUUUUCUUUAUCAGAACUCUUUUCAACUUUCUGCGUUCAUAUGUGGUUUUCUUCAUCUGAAUCAAUUUUCUGGUUUUUGUGAUGUUCUAUUUUCCUUGUCUUUUGAAAGUCCCAAUAAUUUUAAUCGUUACACUUUCAAUUUUGGUUGGGUGAUUAUGAUUUCCGUGUUCUAUUUUGGAUUUCUGUUUUAGAUUUUUGUUGUGUUUUCUCACAAGCAGUAAUUAAUUUGGUCUUUGGGUUUUCUUUAUAAGAAUUUUUUUGAAGUUCCUUCGUUCAUAUAUGGGUUUUUCAUCAGAAUCAAUUUAUGGGUUCUUGUGGGUUGGUUUGGAGUUUCUUCACCUUAUUGCAAUGACAUUUUCUAUCACGACCCAGACCGUCAUGAUUGGCACCCACACUAACUCUCGGGUAGGAGAACCACUACUACAACCCAAACCAAGCAACUCAAUCAAAACUAAGGCAUUUAAGUUACAGAAGCAAGUUAAAUACAAAGAAAAUAAAUAGAGUUACCAUAAAGCCUAACAAUAAUAAACUAACAUUGAAGAAGUAAUGCCUAGAACCUAAAGGUCAAUGUACCAAAACAUCUAAAAUUCAACAAGUCUAAACAAGAAGGAAUGCAACCCCAAUCUAAUGGACUAAUCAACUAACUAGAACAUAGUCUAAGUUCGGAAAUGGUGGACAUAGACGAAAGAGAACCCAUGGCAGCCCGGAAGAAUUGGCUCACCCUUGAAUUCGAACGAUCAUUAACCUCCUAAGCGAGGUUUGUCAGUAGCUACUUGAAGAUGGCUUUUACUCAACAAAAAUAAGAGCAAGUGCAGUAUCAGUACGCAACCACAGUGUACGGGUAGGAUCACGCGGCUAUCCCACUAAGUGCAACAUACAUAAGUCAAAUAACAAUAUAAUCACAUGCAUAUAUCGAACCUUUACAAUAUCAUCAACAUUUACGAAUAACGAACAACUUCACAUGUCUCAAAAUACACAAUUAUGGCAAGUCAUUGGUCCUCUCAUGGAACUCAAACCCAAACAGUUAGCAUACCAGAACGUGGUACCCGAUACAAUGAUUAUGCCAGAACUUGGCAACCGAUCCCAUAAUUAUGCCGGAACGUGGCAAUCGAUCCAAGUUAGUUAUGUCGGAACGUGGCAACCGAUCCAUUCAACACACCACAAUCACAAUCACAAGUAUAUCCUCAAGAUCAUACAAUUAAGUCUUGAUUUCAUGGUAACCAUUAUUCAUCUACCUCAUUACAACAAGUGUGAUCAAUAAUGCAACAUUCAUAUACAUACAUGUAUCAUAAUGAAGCAAGAACAAACAUACAUCACACAAUCAUGAAUCACAACCAUCACCUACCUUGAAACAAGCUUGAAACCCUAAGAAACUUGAUCCUUCCCUUUCCGAAUUCGUUUCGCUUGUUCUUGGUCUACAAACAAUCAUAAUGACACUAGAAUCAAUAAACAAUCACUAAUUACCCCAAUUACUAACAAUUCUAACAACCCUAGAUCAUCCCCAUGAUCCCAAGUGUCCAAAAUAAGGUUGUAUCCAUCAUAGAAUCUAGAUCAAAACCCUCCCCCGUCAUUAAUUGUUCAUUCUAUUACGUUAUACGAAUCGAAAAAUGGAUUCGGGGAGUGAAAAGUUUACCUUUAGCCUCAAGAAUGGUGGAAAACUAUUAGGAGUCACCUGGGGUUCGUUCUUUAGUUCUAAAAAUCAAAAAGUGUAGGAAUAGGUCGUUUAGGGAUUUAUUUACGACCUUAAGUCACGUCGAACCCUCCACCGUGGCCCUCACCCCGUUGUGGCGGCCCCGUCAGAGCGACCAAAAGCUCCGCCAGAGCAGCUUGCACGAACCAGUGAGCUAUUUAAAGAAUUCCUAAAUUCUCAUUUCACAACACACUUCUAACCAACGACGCUCAGAAAAUACCCAUUACGCUAAGGUCGAUUUCGGGAGUUCUACUCGCCCAAAUUCAAUUCCGUAAAGUCGUACGGAUUCCUUAACGAGUUAUCUAACCACUCAUUUAACCGAAAGUAUAAAUAAAUCACCCGAUUGUUACCAGAUUUUCCUACACCUUAAAGACUUCGAUUUCGUCCAAAUCUAGACAAGGUUGGGAAAAUCUAAAUACUACGAAAAAGUUUUCCGCUCCCAAAUUUUCCCCCGUUGACAUUUCUAUAACGACGGAAAUAGGUCGUUACAAUAGAUACCAAUUUACCCAUCACUCGACCCCGAGUGACAAAACUUUGGAAAAUAGACUAAGGAAAGAAUAAAGUAGUAUCUGAAUCGACGAACAAUUGGGGAUACUUGUCUCGCAUGUCCCUCUCGGUUUCCCAAGUAGCUUCCUUAACUGGACGAUGCUUCCAUUGAAAUUUCACGGACUUAAUCUCCUUGGUCCUCAACUUAUGCACAUCACGAUCAAGAAUUGCAACCGGUUCCUCCUCAUAUUGAAGGUCUUUGUCUAACACAAUUGAGUCUCACUUAAUGAUAUAAUCCCCGUCACCAUGAUACCCUUUCAACAUUGACACAUUAAAUAUCGGAUGAACACCCGAUAGAUUAGGAUACGCUUCCGGCCUCACACAUUCAAGAACCUCAAAUGGACCAAUGUAUCGCGGACUUAGCUUGCCCUUCUUGCCAAAUCUCAUUACCCCUUUCAUGGGUGAUACCUUAAGAAGAACAUUUCCACCGGUUUGAAAUGUCGUGUCUCUUACCUUAUGAUCCGCAUACUUUUUUUGUCUACUCUAGGCUGUUAAAAGCUUAGCUUGAAUACUCCUCACCUUUUCUUGAGCAUCCUUCAUUAAAUCAACCCACAAAGGUUUCACAUCCCCAGCCUCGAACCAUCUUAUUGGUGAUCUACAUCCCCUACCAUAGAGUGCCUCACAUGGUGACAUAACUAUGCUGGAGUAAUAACUAUUAUUAUAGGAAAAUUCACACAAAGGUAGGAACUUAUCCCCAUGCCCUCCAAAAUCAAUCACACAUGCCCUCAACAUGUCUUCUAGCACUUGAAUAGUCCUCUCUGACUGCCCAUCUGUCUGUGGAUGGAAGGUUGUACUAAAGGUGAGUUGUGUGCCCAAUUCAUCAUGUAAUUUCCUCCAAAACUUAGAUGUGAAUUGGGUACCACGGUCUGAGAUGAUAGAGAAGGGCACCACAUGCAACCUCACUAUCUCUUUCACAUACACCUUAGCCAAUUGUUCAGCAUUAUAAUCUAUUCUUACCGGAAUAAAAUGGGUUGAGUUAGUCAAUCUAUCAACCACUACCCAAAUAGAAUCAAACUUCCCCAAAGUCUUGGGAAGACCAACCACGAAAUCCAUGGCUAUCCUCUCCCACUUUCAUUCUGGAAUUGGCUUUCUUUGAAACAAACCUGUAGGUCUUUGGUGUUCAUAUUUCACUUGUUGACAAUUUUUACACUUCGCCACAAACUCCGAUAUGUCCUUCUUCAAGCCAGGCCACCAAUAAAUUCGCUUCAAAUCUCGGUACAUCUUGGUCACACCCGGAUGGAUAGAAUAUCACGAACCAUAAGAUNNNNNNNNNNNNNNNNNNNNNNNNNNNNNNNNNNNNNNNNNNNNNNNNNNNNNNNNNNNNNNNNNNNNNNNNNNNNNNNNNNNNNNNNNNNNNNNNNNNNNNNNNNNNNNNNNNNNNNNNNNNNNNNNNNNNNNNNNNNNNNNNNNNNNNNNNNNNNNNNNNNNNNNNNNNNNNNNGCUUUUGGAAGCUCUCCUCACAUUUUUCAGUCCAUUCAAAUGGUAUCUCAUUUUUGGUCAAAUUAGUCAAGUGCAUGGCGAUAGAAUGCCUAACUGCAUGAACUUAGACUCUAAGGUCUGAAUUUCCUUAACUAAAGGUCGUUUGGAUGCACUCAAGCAAGCUAAACUACCCAUACUCACCGCCUUUCGACUCAAAGCGGCUGCCACUACAUUAGCCUUACCCGGAUGGUAAUGAAUGGUGACAUCAUAAUCUUUAAGUAACUUCAUCCACCUUCGUUGUCUCAAAUUCAGAUCAUUUUGAGUGAACACAUGUUGCAAACUGCGAUGAUCAGUACACACUUCACACUUAACACCAUAGAGGUAAGCCGCCAGAUCUUAAGAGCAAACACUACCGCUGCCAACUCCAAAUCAUGUGUUGGAUAAUUCUUCUCAUGUAUCUUUAACUAACGUGAGGCAUAAGCUAUAACAUUCUUAUCCUGCAUCAACACCGCACCCAAACCAGAAUGUGAAGCAUCACAAUAAACAAUAAAAUCUUUACCUUCAACCGGUAAUGCUAGAAUAGGCGGGAUGGUCAAAAGAGUCUUGAGCCUUUGGAAGCUCUCCUCACAUUUUUCAGUCCAUUCAAAUGGUAUCUCAUUUUUGGUCAAAUUAGUCAAGUGCAUGGCGAUAGAAGCAAAGUUCUUCACAAAUCGAUGAUAAUAGCUAGCGAGCCCCCACAAAACUCUUAACUUCAGUCACAGAACUUGGUCAAACCCAAUUCUUAACCGCCUCAAUCUUUUGAGGAUCUAUCAUUACCCCUUCUUUUGAAACUACAUGUCCCAAAAAUGCCAUAGAAGUCGACCAAAAUUCACACUUAGAAAAUUUCGCAUAUACCUUUUGCUUCCCAAGAACAUCCAAAACGAUACGAAGAUGGUCGGCAUGCUCUUCCUCACUUUUCGAAUAUACCAAAAUAUAAUUAAUAAAGACUAUGACGAAAGAAUCAAGAAAUGGCUUGAACACCCCAUUCAUUAUACUCAUAAAAGUUGUAGCCACAUUGGUCAAACCAAAAGACAUAACCAAAAACUCAUAGUGCCCAUAGCGAGUCCUAAACGUCGUCUUGGGCACAUCCUCAGGCCUAAUUUUCAACUGAUGGUAGCCAGACCUUAGAUCAAUCUUAGAGAAACUAAUGCACCUUGCAAUUGGUCAAAAAGAUCAUUUAUUCAAGGCAAAGAGUACUUGUUUCGAAUAGUGACCCUAUUCAAUUGCCGAUAAUCUAUACACAUUCUCAUACUAACAUCUUGUUUCUUAACAAACAAAACUGGAGCACCCCAUGGGGAAGCACUAGGACAAAUAAAUCUCUUAUCAAGAAGCUCUUAGGUUUGAGCCUUAAGCUCUCUUAAUUCUACUAGAGCCAUACGAUAUGGAGGGAUAGAAAUGGGACGCGUACCAGGCUCUAAAUUAAUGCAAAAAUCUAUAUCUCUAUCCGGAGGCAUACCAGACAAAUCACUAGGAAACACUUCUCUAAAUUCCGACACCACAGGAAUAGACUCAAUGGAUGGAGCCUCAAUCCCAACAUCUCUAAUAUGAGCCAAAUAAGCCAAACAACCUUGCCCUAUCGAUUUCCUAGCUCGAAUGGAGGCUAUGAUCUUAGCUUACUUAGGCUUGUACACCCCUUCCCACUCUAAUUUUUCCCUCCCCGAAAUUUCUAGAGUUACAGACUUAGUAUUACAAUUAAGCACGGCAUAAUAGGGGGACAACCAAGUCAUGCCUAAGAUUAUAUCAAAGUCAGUCAUAUCCAAAAUUACCAAAUCAGCCCAAGUCUGAAAACCCAUAAACAAAAUAGGACAAACACGAUAGACAUGGGUAACUAUGACUGACUCUCCCAAACUGGGGGUGGGUAGAAACAUGGAUAGGGGCAUCAAGUAUAUCACAAAAUCAUAUUAAACUUUGAGGCAAAUCGCACGGAUACAUAAGAAAAAGUAGAAUCCGGAUCAAACACUACAACAAUAAAAGCUUUUAGCGGCAAUUAAUAUGCACCUUAGUGGAAACAUAAAUUGCCACUAAAACUUUUAUCGUCAUUUAAUUUAUUGUCAUUGGAUUCAAUGUCCCUAAAGGCUUUAGUGGCAAUUAUAAAGAGUGCCGGUAAAGAUACCAACUAUUGCCGCUAAAAGAUUUCAAUUUUAGCGGCAAUUAUUUACUGGCAAUAACAAUGGCCACUAAAAUCACCUGAAAUUUACAUCUUGCAUAAUCAAUAAUGAUGCAUCUAAUUGGCAAUAAAACUGCCCACAAAUUGCAAAUACUAAUAUUAAGAAAUGACGUUCUUCAUUAAAAUCACAAUAAACAAAAACAAAUAACUAUUCAUUCAUAAUCUUAAUGUCAACAACAUAACAUGAAAAAAAUUACUCCACUUGAUUCCAAAAGCUAAUCUUCUUUUUUUUAGAAGGUAAAAGCUAAUCUUGUUCUCAUUUCAAUAAUCUUCCACAUAUCAAAUCUCUAAACAUCAUAGAGUACAUAUCUAUAUCCUCUCAGAAACCAUUGCCUCGUGUCCUCUCGGAUACCAUCAUUCCAUAUCAAAACAAUAGGAUACUCUGCACUAGCCAACACCAUGUCUUCUUGAUGUUACCAGACCCCUGGAUCUCGAAUUGUCAUGCAAAGAUGAAUUUCUUAGGCAUAAGAAAAUGUUUCACUUGAAUUUCCCUUUUAGGACCUUCAAGUUUGCCCUUCAGACUACCUGAAGUUGUGUCCCACUCUCAUAUGCCCAUCAAUGCUUUCAGGAGAAGGCAACUGACCAUCAGGACUAAAAGCCAAACUAAACAAAAUCUCUGUGAUCUGAACCAUAUGUCAAAAAACAAAAGUUAAAAGGUAUAUCAAUAAGACAUAUCUAAUUAGCGAUACAAAACCAUAAAUCAUUCGGAUAAUAAACAUGAGACAGAUUCUUAAUGCCAGGCAUGACUCAUUUACCUUCUAAUAACUUUAAACUAGAAUCACCUUAACCAAUCUUCCAUAUAAAUUCUCCUUCGUCUCCACCACAUGUUGCCACCAAAUUAGCAUCUGUCGGACUGCAGAUACCAGUUUAUGCUUCAUUUAUAAAGAGAAAAUGUAUUGAAAUAGUUAAAAUAUAAAGUAAACAGAAAAGAAAUCCACUCCAAAGUACAGUCUAGUUAUAGUUUUAUACCCAAUCGGGAGGCAUUGACUAUCAUAUGGAUACAUUUAACUUUUAACUAGUCCAAAAUCAAUAAAAACACAUUUACCUAAAAUCAUUAUGUUGGUGAGGAAAACAAUCUUAUGUGAAGUAUAUUCAACUAUCUGAAUAUCUGAUUCAAUUUUCUUAUAGGGAAAAUAUUUACAUUAAUAAGUGGAAAAAUUCCAGCAUACAAGAAGCAAUAAGUGGAGGACCAACACAAGAUGGAAACAUAUAGCUAUGCACACUAUCAUUUAGAUAAAAGGGAUCUCACAUGUUUUCAAGAGUUUGUAAAACACAUAUAGCAUGUGACGAGUCUAGCUAGCAUUAACCAACCAUACGACACUUCAUAAGCUACAUACGCAUGCAAGUUUUACAACACAAAUAUGCAAGGAGUCCUUCCACUCCCAAAUGUGAAGGCUUUAGAUGCCUAAAACAACAUAGACUAGCUUGCUUAAAAGAAAUAUAUGAUUAACGACAUGCUCUGUGUCAGAGGCGUAUCUAGAGGGGGUGCCGUGGGUUCACGUGAACCCAUGCUCCCCUCUCUAGAUCAUAUAUAGUAGUGUUAUAUUUUUAAAAAAAUAUUUAAAUAUAGAUGUGUGAACCCAUGUUCAAAGUAUCAUAUAAUAAUACGAUGAUGAUUAGGUGCACCUCUCUAACUGAGGAUAAAAAUUUAAAUAUUAUAUCUAUCUUGUCUUUUUGAGUAACACCACUCCAAGUGGUUAUCAGUGACACUUUUGACGUUUCAACUAAUUUUUCUUUUGUAUUUUUGCCUUUAAUCUUUCAAAAUUUUCAAGCGUCUUACAUUGAAAAUUCCUAAAAAAUUAAGCACCGUAAUUUUUUUAUAUAAUUAAAUCAAUUGUGUAUAUUAAAAUUUAAAACUAAUAGUAUUAUAUAUUUUGAAUCUAUAGUUUUUAAAAUUUAAUGGUUCAUAUUUAGAACCUAAAAGUCAAAUGAUCAAAUUUAUAUUUAAGAUACAUUUCUUCGUAAUCGUGCACCCAUUUAACCGAAAUCCUGGAUACGCCUCUGCUCUGUGUGUUAAUAGAAUUUUGAGGUACGGACCUGUCAUACACUCCUACUGCAGGUUGUAGUGGAUUCAUGGUAUCAUAUGAAAUCUGUAGCUUAAAAAAGUAUGCAAAUCAAAGGAGGACAACAAACUCAACUUCUGAUACGAUCGUGUGACCUUUUUCAUGACUAGUCAAUAUCUUUGCUGAUAAAAGUUCCCAAGGAACAACGGCAAAACUAAACACACAUGCUUUCUGGUAGUAAGGCAGAUAAUUGAUGAUCUAAAAGGAAAAUAAAAGUUUAACAGACCAAGUUUACAGUGGCACAAGAUAGUUAUGCACGUGGUAAUAUACGUCAUAUACAUUAGCCACAAAACGUAGCCCUUGGUGUUAAUUAGAUAUCAUCGAACAAGGUGGCAGAAACAAAGAAAGCACAUAAGCUCCAAUUUUAUAUUGCACAAGUAAAACUCAACUUGAACUUACAAAUUAAUACUCGGUCAAUCUCAGAAAUUAGAGUCGAGGUCUUGCAGAUAUCAAUUUUCACUUAAUCAACGUCCUCCGCAAGAUAAGAAGUGCAAAACCUCUGAGAAAGAAAAUCAACCUGAGCCAGAGAGUAAAUUAACAAGCUUGGCUAGUAGAAACACAAAGUUACAUUGAAACUACUCAUAUACAAUAGCAGAUUGUGAUCACAAAUUUUAAACUCACCAAGAUAGAGCAACUAAAACCUUAUUCCAAGUUUACAGAGCUAAGCUUGUCAACUUACCAACUAGGGAAAACGAUUACUACAUAUGUCAAGCUGCGGAAUUAGAGCAACCACAAAUAGCCGAGCUCCAAUUGGUGUACCUGUCAUAACAGUUCCACCAGAACUCUUUAGGAUAUAUGAAUAAGAACAUGGAUUUUCUUCCAGAUGUUCUCAUGGACAAUAAAAUACAUGCUACCAGCAGCAAAAAUGUUAGAUACUCUUUAGAAUCUAUUGAUGCUUACAACACACAAAUAAAGUAGGAUAAAGAUGCAAAUUAUAGCAGAAUUUUGAAUCGAAAAGAUGAAAAGGUUAAAUUUUCAACCAGUGUUAGAUUGAAAAUUGACAGUGUGUUCAAAAUUAGGGAUUGAAGAAAACGACUCAACUUUGAUUCGAGCGAGGACUCGAAUACAUAAAUCUGAUUAGAAGAGAAAACAAAGACAUACUGAAAAUGUAAAAUGGCUUAAGCUUCAAUUCUAACAACUUAGGUUUUUCAUAAGACGAUUGCACGCGCUAAAAUUGCUCCUAAUAUCUCAAACACGAAUAAAAAUAUCAUAACUUCAUUAAACUUCCAAAAAUAAAGAAAUUCAGAUAGUAACCGAUGAAGGAGGAAGAAUACCGACAUAGUAGCGGUGUUGAUUCGUAGCGGAGGUGGAUUUGGAGGUCCGGAUAGCGGUGGUGGAUACGGUGGUUUUGGUGGCCGUGCUGAAUACGAUGGCUCCAGUGGCGCCGGAGAAUACGGUGACUUAAGCGGCGGUGGAUAAAAUGGCUACGGUGGCUCUGGAGGUGGUGAUUCUGGAGGAGGAGGAGGGCAGCGGAUCUAAUGGCCAGCGUCUUUUAUUGCUUUGAGGGAAUAAGUAAAAUAUUAAAAUUGAAUUUAGUUAUUGACUUUUAGUGGCAACUAUCUUUUAAGGGAAAAUUACGCGGUUAAGCAAACUUAUACUACUUAAUUACUCAUUAUAGCUAUAGUUUGCUAUAAUUACCACUCACGACUAACAUUAUACAUUAAUUACGCGGGCUGACUUCGAGUUUGUAUAUGUAUAAUUCGCCAGAAUAUACAAAUACAUAUGUAUAAUAUAUAAUUAUCUAACCUAUAUACAUAUACAAUUCACCUCUCUCCCACUCUCUGCCCUCUCUCGCUCGCUUCUCUCCUCCCUCUCCCAAUCUCUCUCGCCUCUCUCCUCCCUAUAAUAUAUAGCUACGAAUUGUAAUUAUCAAACUAUAGCUAUGGAGAGUAAUUGGGCUAUUUUUGAGUUGCUAUAUGUGAAAGUUCCCCAUCUUUUAAUGCCACUGAAAAGAGAAUUUUUUUUACGGUGAAUGUACAUUUGCCGCUAUAUCUUAUUUUAGAGAUUAAAUUAGUGGCAAUUAUUUUAUUGCUGCUAAAUAAUUGCCACUAAAAAUACUUUUUGGUGUAUUGAAACAACACAUUAGCCAUCCGCUCACAGACAAGAAUAGUACUUGUGAUCACUGCAUCAGACGCCUCUGCCUCAUUCUUGCCCGGAAAUGCAUAACACUGAGACCUAUCAUCUUGACGAGCCACUUCCCUGCCUGGUUACGCAUUACCCCUGACUGCAUUACCAUUACCUCUACCUCCACGGCCUCGUUGAUUACCUCCUCGCCUACUUUGUGGACGUCCUCUACCAUUAUUACCAUUCCCCGCGGGUACCACUGCUCUAGACUGCUGAUGUGUGGAAUCUAACACACGUGGGUGGAGAAAAUUUCUCUUCAUACGCCCAGGUUCACCACAGUUGUAGCAAGUACGAUCAAAAUAUGGUCUACCACCCGUCGAAGGCGCGACUCCCUAGCUAUCCUGAACAUUAUAAGAUGGAAUUUCCGAGUAACUACCUGCAGAGGUAGGCAUAGCGGACUGAAUUGACUUGGCUGCAAGCGUUUGCCUUCCGGACCCCUUGGAAUAAGAACCUUGAAAGUUACCCGGAGUUCUUGGCCCUUUUUGUCCAUGCCUUAGCUUGACCGUUUCGCCUCACCCUUCCCCCCCCCCAACUUCUUAACAUAGUCUAUUACCUCAUUGAAGCUCCUCCCUGCAAGUAGCAUAUCUAGACAAGGCAUGGAACUUGGCCUUCAUAAGGCAGCCACAGUCAUACCACCCUGCUCCAAAGCCAUGAACUCAUCCUUCUUGAGAUCCCUCAAGGUCCUAGGCACAUACUUCUCUAUAAACAGAGCAUGAAAUUGGGUCCAAGUAAGUGGAGGUAAAGUAGAAGAUCAGCAUUCCAUAUAAGCUCUCCACCACAGCUUAGCCUCACCUUGAAGUUGAAAGCACAUGAACUCAACCCCAUGUUAAUGGACAAAUUCCCAACUUAUGAAGCCUCUCAUAGCAAUCUAAGAUAAACUCAUAAGCAUCCUCAUUCUCAGAACCAAGAAACACAUGAGAUUUUAGCUUCAAAAACAUAGUCAACAUUUCAUGUUCAUUACCAGUCAUAACAGAACCCAACAAAGGACGGAAGAAAGCAUUAUUACCUCCGGUCCCACCCACCUUGGGCGCAGUGCCAGCAACAGAAAGGUUAGUAGGAGCUUGAGUUGCUUGAGCAAAAGGAAGCACUCCAGGACCAACCAACCCUUUCAAGAAUGACAUGAUAUGUCGAGCUAACACUGGGUCUAUGGGGGGAACAUCAGUAGUCUCAGCCUGCACCUCUUCCUCUUGUCCCACAUCCUCAACAUUCUCAACAUCAACAUUUUCCUCUUCAAUCUCUUCAUGAUGCGCAAGAGGGUUCUUAUUCACAUGAGCAUUCUCAAUAGGAGCUCCAUUUCCAGCAGGCGCUACUCUUUUACGGCCUCUACCCCUGCAUCGACCGUGACCUCUCGCUGCAGAUUCCUCAGCUAGAGCAUUGACGGGAGCUACGGGCCUAAUACUGUUGAAUCUAGUAUUAACCAUCUACAGACAGAAGAGUGAAAGAGGUUAGAUACCAAUUUGAAUCGCCAGAUACCAAUUGGAAUCAAGUCAUAGCACAAAAUGAGACAAGAGAAACAGUGAGAUUUCCCAAAGUUCUAUAGCCUCUCGAAGAAAAGUAAAGGCGUCCCCGUACCGUUCCGCAAGACUAUACUAGACUUGUUUUGGUACAUCGAGAUCAACAAACCUAGGCUCUGAUACCAACUUUGUCACGACCCAGACCGUCGUAAUUGGCACCCACACUAACUCUCUAGUGGGAGAACCACUACUACAACCCAAACCAAGCAACUAAAUCAAAACUAAGGCAUUUAAGUUACGGAAGCAAGUUAAAUAUUAGGAAAUAAAUAGAGUUCCAUAAACUCUAACAAAAGUCUAACAAUAAUAAACUAACAUUGCGAAAGUAAUGCCUAUAACCUUAAAGUCAAUGUACCAAAAUAUCAAAAACUCAACAAGUCUAAAUACGAAGGGAUGCAACCCCAAUCUAAUGAACUAAUCAACUAACUAGAACAUAGUCUAAAUCCGGAAAUGGUGGACAUAGACGAAAGAGAACCCAUGGCAGCCCAGAAGAAUUGGCUCACCCUUGAAUUCGAACGAUCACUGAUCUCCUAAGUGAGGUCUAUCAGUAGCCGCUUGAAGAUGCCCUAUACUCAACAAAAAUAAGAGCAAGUGCAGUAUCAGUACACAACCACAGUGUACUGGUAAGAUCACGCGGCUAUCCCACUAAGUGCAACAUACAUAAGUCAAAUAACAAUAUAAUCACAUGCAUAUAUCAAACAUAUACAAUAUCAUCAACAUUUACAAAUAACGAACAACUUCACAUGUCUCAAAAUAUACAAUUAUGACAAGUCAAUGGUCUUCUCAUGGAACCCAAACCCAAAUAGUUAGCAUGUCGGAACGUGGCAACCNNNNNNNNNNNNNNNNNNNNNNNNNNNNNNNNNNNNNNNNNNNNNNNNNNNNNNNNNNNNNNNNNNNNNNNNNNNNNNNNNNNNNNNNNNNNNNNNNNNNNNNNNNNNNNNGAACGUGGCAAUCCGAUCCCAUUCACACACCACAAUCACCAUUAUAUCAUCAAGAUGAUACAUUUAAGUCAUGAUUUCAUGGUAACCAUUAUUCAUCUACCUCAUUACAACAAGUGUGAUCAAUAAUGCAACAUUCAUAUACAUACAUGUAUCAUAAUGAAGCAAGAACAAACAUACAUCACACAAUCAUAGAAUCACAACCAUCACCUACCUCGAAACAAGCUUGAAACCCUAAGAAACUUGAUCCUUCCCUUUACGGAUUCAUUCCGCUUGUUCUUGGUCUACAAACAAUCACAAUAACACGGGAAUCAAUAAACAAUCACUAAUUACGUGAAUUACUAACAAUUCUAACAACCCUGGAUCGUACCCAUGAUCCCAAGUAUCCAAAAUAGGGUUGUUUCCACCAUAGAAUCUAGAUCAAAACCCUCCCCCAUCAUUAAUUGUCCAUUCUAUUACGUUCUACAGAUCAAAAACUGGAUUCGAGGAGUGAAAAUUUUACCUUUAGCCUCAAGAAUGGUGGAAAACUGUUAGGAGUCACCUGGGGUUCGUUCUUUAGCUAUAAAAAUUGAAAAAUGCAGAAUGAGAUCGUUUAGGGGUUUAUUUAUGAACUUAAGUCGCGUCGAACCCGCCACAGCGGCCCUCACCCUACUGUAGCGGCCCCGCCAGAGCGGCUUGCACAAACCAGUGAGCUAUUUAAAGAAUUCCAAAAUCCCCAUUUCACAACACACCUCUAACCAACAAUGCUUAGAAAAUACCCUUUACGCUAAGGUCGAUUACGGGAGUUCUACUCUCCCGAAUUCAAUUUCGUAAAGUCGUACGGAUUCCUUAACGAGUUAUCUAACCACUCAUGUACCCAGAAUUAUAAAUAAAUCACCCGAUUAUUACCAGAUUUCCCUACACCUUAAAAACUCUGAUUUCGUCCAAAUCUGGACAAGGUUAGAAAAAUUCAAAUACUACGAAAAAGUUUUCAGGUCCCAAAUUUUCCCCCGUUGGCAUUUCUAUAACGACGAAAACAAGUCAUUACAUUUUCAUAGUUGAUUUCUAGGAUGCAAUUGAACACAUUGUGCUCUCUCACAUCCGUAGUAAAGCGAUUUGAGAAGUAGUUAGAACCUCCCUUGAAAAGUCAAGUUUUUAAAUUUAUUAUUAUAUAAUUUCCUUAUGCUUAAUUUAAGGUUCUAGAGGAAGGAACUGAUAGGUAAAGCACUAGAGUUUUGUUCUUUUCAUCUUUUCUCUUGCUAUAUUUGGUAGUGUUAGUUGGAAUAUUGUUGCUUGUGAGUUUUGAUGUGGAGCACUUGUUGUCACUCUAAAUCUAUGUUUUACUCUUCUUUAUUUUAUAGGCAGAAUUUGUGUUAUAGGGAAGUUACUGUUUGGGUUGAAUGUUGUUGAUUUUCUUUGUGGAAUUUAGGGAAAUUGGAAUUAUCAGGUUUCUUUUUAGUUAAAUUUGGCUAUUGAUUGAUUUGAUUCCACGCUGGAGUUUUGUUCUCUCUGUUUCUGUGUGAUUUGGGCAGAGGGGUGAUUAUAGUUUUCUUUUUUUUUUAAAUCAUUGUUUCAUUUCCUGAUUUACUUUUGUGUUGUAGCAACUUUUUGGGGCCCGCUAAACUUAAAAAACCUAAUUUAGGACCUCCAAAGCUUGUGAAAUUUCAUGUAAAUCUUUUCAGUUAAACCUUUCCUCUUGCUAUAGUUGGUAGUGUUACUUGGAGUAUUGUUACUUGUGAGUUUUGAUGUGUAGCACUUGUUAUCCUUCUAAAUCUACGUUUUACUUGCACUCAUAUUUCCAUUUCAGUAUUGAAACCAAAUAGCUCUAGUGUUUUGUUUGUCUAAGCUUUCAUAAAUUCACAUGGCUACACAAUGAUAUCAUAUGUUGAAGGUGAGCUAUAACAUAUUCUAUUUGAUAGAUACAAAUUAUAAAAAAUACUAAAUUCAUUUUACAAUUAUUUUUGCGUGCAGUGUGAAGUUAAGGAUUUGCAGUUAUUACUAUUGAAGUUUCAGCUACAGGUAUGUUUUCAGCUACAUGUAUGUUCUUUCCCACCCAUUAUUGUGAUUUCUUUUUCCCUCCUUCCUCCUUUUAUCUCCUUGAUUAGUAGCGGUCCAGUCACUCUGUUAUGCUCCAUUUUGAUUGAUAGGAAAUUUGGGGCUGUUUGAGGAGUUUAAGGGUACAAAGUUGUUGUCUUGUUACUGGUGAAGAGAAAGAUAACUAGAUCAUGGAUUCAUACUAGGCAUGAUAUUUAUUGUUACAUAAUUGCUAAUUUUCGAUGGACGUUUCAUCUGAAUUUGAUAGGUUGGUAAGAAGAUUUUUGACGAAAAGUCCAUCAAAAACGUUAUCGACGAGAAAAUAUCUACAUGAUACUACGUAUUAUAUAAUCUUUGGAAAUGGUUUUAAAGAAGAUAUUUGACUAGGUAAACAAGCCAAGUUUCUAAAUACAAUUAUAUAUUUAAUAAUGGUCCCAUUAACAAGUGCACUAGUGGAUUGAUGAGUAUCUCUUCAAAAGAGAUUCAAGUUCGAGUUUCCUUAGAUAUAUAAUUGUCUUUGUUAGAAAGUGUUUUACGUUCAUGUGAAAUUUUUUGAUGCAAACUUAAAUUUAGUUGAAUAUAAUACAAAUACCAAAAGGGUUAAGGUUCUUGACAAGCAACUCUUUAGUAGUUGGAUAUACCCCUCAUAGUUAUAUCUGAACUUGGAAGUUCAAUAUAAUUUUUCCAAUCAAAUUGCUUACUUUUGCAAUGUGGAUUAGGCAUUUCUUGAUUUUUGGAUGGGCUGAAAUUCUGCAAAUCAUUAGUGUAUUGUUCAUACUAGAAGUAACGAUAAUAUUAUCACAAUCUAAUAUAUACUUUUCAUGAGUGUCUCAUUUUGUUUUAGUGUCUCACUUCAAACACCACACACCCAAACUAAUGCCAAAGUUUGUUUUUCCUUUUUUUUGAGUAACCAAUAUGCUAAAAUAUUCAGGUGCUGCAACCUUAAGUAUCAUAAUUUAGUUCUCUUGAGUUGCUUAGUUGGUUUUGCAACUGUUAACAUGUUAUUGAUGUAAGGGAUUGUAACAGGUUAUAGAUUAUUUAUAUCUUAUAAUUAUGGCUCGGCUUGAAGAAUUGGCAUUGAUAAAUUGUGAUGUAAUGGAAAGAUAAUUUGGUUUAUUGACUACAUUAGGGCAGGAUUUGAAAAGAUUAAAAAAAUAGGUGUUGACUUAGUUGCUUUUACAUUUUAUUUUUGUCACACCUCAAAAUAGGGGGCGUAUCUGGCACUCGAUACCCUAAUACAUCGAGUUACCCACUGAAACAUACUAGCUAAACCAAACUGUGAAACAAAAAGAUUGGGCUGCACAACCUCUAAAAAGUGAAGCCUGGACCCAGAGAUCAUGACCUGAAUGAGAAUAAACCAUACAAAUAAUGGUAGACAAACCAAAAAAAAUAAAAUAUGUACUAUCUAUCCAACGAGGCCACAACCGAAAACAUACCUACUUACACACACACAUAUAUAUACAUGCCAAGCCUAUUGGCUAGAGGUUGAAACAUACAAAAAGAAAGCCCAGAAUAUUGUGUCCACAAUAGCCUCUAUGAGUGACAUAAGCACUGUCGGGACAAGGCCCCGACUAUACCCAAACUGUACAACAAAAGUAAACAUCCUCUGAUGGCCCCAGGAUAAGAUGGAGCUUACCAACUCACAGCUGAACCUGAAUCCUAGCGGGUGGGUCGAUUAGAGUCCUUGCAUAUACCUGCUCGCACACGAAACAAAAAGCAGCGUCCCCAGGCAAAGGGACGUCAAUACAAAUAAAAAUGUACUGGUAUGUAAAGCAGAAAGUAAAAUCAUAAACAUUUACUGUAAAAGGGUAAUAGAGAUACCACCUAAAACUGAAACCCAAAUAAUCUCCAUGGCUGACCUUUAGCCCCCAACUACUUAAAUAUGCAUGGUGUGCUCGUAUAAUCAUAUGUCGUGAAUACAUAUAUAUAUAUAUAUAGAUGCAAAUGCAUGACAUACCCAACCAUAUGCUAGCAAUAGUGGUGCUUUCCGGUAGCGAACCGGCAUCAUAUUCGCCAACUUGUGGCUAUCUGUGUCUCAUACGUAUAAAUAUAGGCAAUAGGCCCCAUACCUCCCGAUUAUAGCUCAGGAGUAGAAUGCAUAGCAUGUCAUGUCAUGGAUUUAUAACACCUAUGAGUUACUGUUGUCAUGUUUCCAAUCUUGUCCCGUUUGUAGUCUUGUUCUCAUAACCCCAUAAUAACUUUCGUAUAACAUAUAACAAUUUCAUGGAACCUGAUAUGUUAUUCCAAAUAAGCUUGAAAAGUUAACUAGAAUUUUAGAAGGAUAACCUAACCAUGUUGAUAUUCAUAACAAGUUUAAGGUGACUUACUUAGUUCCUAACUUGGUUCCUAGAUAAUUUAUAAAAAAAAUAUUUCAAAAACCAACUGUUCUAAUAGUUUACAUUUAAAUUAUAUUCGAGAGUUUUGAAGAUCGUGAGUUACUUUAAAGAUUUUUUUAAUAAUAACCUUAGUGGAGAAAGAGGGCUGGUCACAAGAAGUAAGUGUCUCGCGUGACAUUUUAAUUCACAUCACCCAAGGAAGAAUACGAAUUCAUACGUGCGGACAUAUAAAUCAAGGAAACCGAUAAAAUAGACAUGUAGAUGUCGAACACUCUAUUUAUCCGAACGAGUGAACUAUCAAAAUAACAGAAUCAUGAAAAAAAUUCAGCUGAGAUCCCAAUGCCUUUCACUGAAGGUCUUUCUAGCAAGAGAAUAGCAAAAUAUCGCAUUCGGCGUUUUAGGAAUUUCCCAGGAGUGGUGCUAAAAUGAGGGACGUAGCUUCGCCUUAACAUACCUUUUCAAUGAACGCUCGAAUGGCCGUAGCUUCUUCACGAAAGUUGUUCCUUACGUCCUAAGCUUCGCAAACACUAUAUAUACACAGCUGGUACGCACCUAUAAACAAUUCAUAAUUGUUCUUAAAUCGGCAGAUUUGCCAAAUGGCCUCAACUUGACGAAAUGUCCGUAGAACUUCAUAAAAACAAUCAUAAAAGAGUCUCGAGAUGAUUACCUUAGUUAACCAAGUGUAAAACCUUGAAGAAACACCAAUAACUACAAAUUUAUAUCUUCAAAAACUUGCUUCAAACGCAUCNNNNNNNNNNNNNNNNNNNNNNNNNNNNNNNNNNNNNNNNNNNNNNNNNNNNNNNNNNNNNNNNNNNNNNNNNNNNNNNNNNNNNNNNNNNNNNNNNNNNNNNNNNNNNNNNNNNNNNNNNNNNNNNNNNNNNNNNNNNNNNNNNNNNNNNNNNNNNNNNNNNNNNNNNNNNNNNNNNNNNNNNNNNNNNNNNNNNNNNNNNNNNNNNNNNNNNNNNNNNNNNNNNNNNNNNNNNNNNNNNNNNNNNNNNNNNNNNNNNNNNNNNNNNNNNNNNNNNNNNNNNNNNNNNNNNNNNNNNNNNNNNNNNNNNNNNNNNNNNNAUACGGGGUUUUGUGCGUUGCAAACUACACUCGUAGGACUUCGAUUUAAUAGGUGAUAGGACUUCUAAAUCUUUGUAUAUUGGGAGAAAACAUCCAAGACAUUUGACCCAAAGUUAAGAAAAUAUUAUUAGAGAAACUUCGAUAACUUUUGCCGACUUUAGUUUCACUAAUUUUCUUGACUUCCAAACUUAACAUACGACCCUUGUGCUAUUAUAAUACCUCAUAACACACUAUUAUUAGCAUGUUUUACACUCAUAGGCUUAUCCACAAGGUAUGGGACAAUUUAAACAUUUCAAACGGCGAAGUUCUACCCGAGCCAUUUCUUUAGUCAUGAACUUUGUUUGAGGGGUCCCUUUGACCUAAAACUUUAGUUUAGUUCCUUGAUAUUGCCACAUAUUUGAAAUUUUAAUCUCCAAUGUAUGAUACAAAGUCAUAUACACCUCAUAUAACCAUGUCAUUCUACGCCACACAUAUUAUGCACGAUUAGACAAAGAGCAUGGGAUCUUACAAUUUUUAACUCCGAUGUUGAUCCAAGCAAUCACACCUUCUGUUAGGGCAGAACACAACAACACAAAUAAUGGAAUAACAACCAUGCUUGAAAUAUACGUAAUCAAGACAUUGAAUAUCUGAAGCAGUAGAUGCCCAAAUAGGAAUUAUGCCAUGUAUGUUCUUUGAUAAAAGAGGCUAGAGAGUUCUGUGUAUGUUUUUUAUGGAUUGAUGCCAACUAAGAAUCUCACUUGUUUAUCUGAAGCUCGCAAUAAUUUGUCUCCACUAGAUUCAAAAGUCUUCUUUACUUUCUUUUGUUUAAUGUUGUUACUGUGUUGCUUUUUGCGAGAAAAGUUUUAACUCUAAAUAGUUGUCUACAAAAUCAUGACAGUGAAAGAUUUACUUGAUGUUUUUUUAAUUAGUUGUCACAUGGUGUUGUGCCUACUACUCUCUGGCAAUUCAGAAAUGUUAUAGAAAUCAAAAUGCGUAUCAAAAUGCCUUACAACCAAAUUCUAUACUGAUGCUUGCAAUUUUACAUAUUCUUAUUGAAAAGACAUUUUUAUACUCAAUUUAAGCAACUAUUGUAGCACCCUUUUCUCAAAAAAACUUUCUUCCAUAAACUUUUUUCCAUUCUAGCUUGCAUCUAUGUAAGCUAGGAUCUAUUAUAACAUUGUUUAUCUUUUUUCUAUUCAAAAGUCUUCUUUACUUUCUUUUGUUUAAUGUUGUUACUGUGUUGCUUUUCGUGAGAAAAGUUUUAACUCUAAAUAGUUGUUUGCAAAAUCAUGACAAUGAAAGAUUCACUUGAUGUUUUUUUAUUUGGUUGUGCCUACUACUCUCUGGCAAUUCAGAAAUGUUAUAGAAAUCAAAAUGCCUUACAACCAAAUUCUAUACUGUUGCUUGCAGUUUUACAUUAAGCUAGGAUCUAUUAUAACACUGUUUAUCUUUUUUCUAUGUAAACAAGAAAAAAAUCAACAAAACUCACUCUCUGAGAAGAAUUCAUAGACCUAUAUGGGAAUAAACUUCUCACACAUCUGAAAGAACUUCAAGAUUUCCCAGUAAUUCUUGCCAGAAAAGUAGCCAAACCAAAAUCAUCUUCAGG